rnacentral:misc_RNA from 1 species
UAGGGAGCAAUCCCUGAAUGUCGACCGGGCGUCGCUGCUCAGUUUUGAGGGGCCGCGGGCGGACGUUGUUCGCUUGCCGGCCUCGGCGGAGCUUGAAAACUGCACAAAGGCCAAAUUAAAAGGGUAAUUUGCACCGACCGCGCCUUCGGGCGCGGCGGUAGCUCAC